rnacentral:rRNA from 1 species
GAAACUGCGAAUGGCUCAUUAAAACAGUUAUAGUUUAUUUGAUAAUCGAAUUUACAUGGAUAACCGUGGUAAUUCUAGAGCUAAUACAUGCUGGUUAGCCUGACUUUUAGGAAGGGCUGUAUUUAUUAGAUAACAAACCAAUAUUCCUUGUGUCUAUUGUGAUGACUCAUAAUAACUGAUCGAACCGCAUGGGCUUUGCCCGCGAUAAAUCACUCAAGUUUCUGCCCCAUCAGCUUUCGAUGGUAGUGUAUUGGACUACCAUGGCUUUAACGGGUAACGGAGGAUUAGGGUUCGAUUCCGGAGAGGGAGCCUGAGAAACGGCUACCACAUCUAAGGAAGGCAGCAGGCGCGUAAAUUACCCAAUCCUGAUUCAGGGAGGUAGUGACAAGAAAUAACGGACCGAGGCAAUUGCCUCGGGACUGCAAUGAGUAGAAUUUAAACCCCUUUACGAGGACUCAUUGGAGGGCACGUCUGGUGCCAGCAGCCGCGGUCAUUCCAGCUCCAAUAGCGUAUAUUAAAGUUGUUGCAGUUACAAAGCUCGUAGUUGGAUCUCUGGGGAGGGCGCCAAUGCCCCGCUUGUUAGCGUGUGCAGCGGGUGCCCCCCCAUCCUUCUGUCCACGUUUCUUGGUAUUCAGUNACUGGUUUCGGGCUCAGAUAUUUUACCUUGCAGAAAAUUAAAGUGUUUCAGGCAGGCUUGCCCCGGCAAUACUUANCAUGGAAUAAUAGAU